rnacentral:rRNA from 1 species
GGCCUGGUUCUGGGGAUCGGCGGCCCUCGCGGCCCCCGUCCCUCAAAUUCAGUGGCGGUCGCGCCGCAGCCUCCCCUGCGUAGUAGCACAACCUCGCACCGGAGAGCGGAACGACCACGCCGUAAAACACCCAAUUUUUUAAGGUUGACCUCGGAUCAGGUAGGAAUACCCGCUGAACUUAAGCAUAUCAAUAAGCGGAGGAAAAGAAACCAACAGGGAUUGCCUCAGUAACGGCGAGUGAAGCGGCAACAGCUCAAAUUUGAAAUCUGGCCUCACGGUCCGAGUUGUAAUUUUGUAGAGGAUGCUUUUGGCGAGGUGCUUUCCCGAGUUCCCUGGAACGGGACGCCAUAGAGGGUGAGAGCCCCGUACGGUAAGACCACCGA